UUUUAAGCUAAAUAUUUUAAAAGAUAUAGUAUAGGUGUACCAGAAACUGAUGGCAAAAAGUGAGAAAAUAAAUUGACUCUAGCAAUACCGGGGUAAUGGAAAUAAAACAUUUUGAUCCUUUUUUUUCUUAUAGCGGCUGAUUCUGUGUGCUAAACAUGCAAAUAUAA